GACGAACGCUGGCGGCGUGCUUAACACAUGCAAGUCGAACGGAAAGGCCCUGCUUUUGUGGGGUGCUCGAGUGGCGAACGGGUGAGUAACACGUGAGUAACCUGCCCUUGACUUUGGGAUAACUUCAGGAAACUGGGGCUAAUACCGGAUAGGAGCUCCUGCUGCAUGGUGGGGGUUGGAAAGUUUCGGCGGUUGGGGAUGGACUCGCGGCUUAUCAGCUUGUUGGUGGGGUAGUGGCUUACCAAGGCUUUGACGGGUAGCCGGCCUGAGAGGGUGACCGGCCACAGUGGGACUGAGAUACGGCCCAGACUCCUACGGGAGGCAGCAGUGGGGAAUAUGGCACAAUGGGCGGAAGCCUGAUGCAGCAACGCCGCGUGCGGGAUGACGGCCUUCGGGUUUUAAGCCGCUUUCGCCUGUGACGAAGCGUUAGUGACGGUAAUGGGUAAAGAAGCACCGGCUAACUACGUG
rnacentral:rRNA from 1 species